CCUACGGGUGGCAGCAGUCGAGAAUCAUUCACAAUGGGGGAAACCCUGAUGGUGCGACGCCGCGUGGGGGAAUGAAGGUCUUCGGAUUGUAAACCCCUGUCAUGUGGGAGCAAAUUAAAAAGAUAGUACCACAAGAGGAAGAGACGGCUAACUCUGUGCCAGCAGCCGCGGUAAUACAGAGGUCUCAAGCGUUGUUCGGAAUCACUGGGCGUAAAGCGUGCGUAGGCUGUUUCGUAAGUCGUGGGUGAAAGGCGCGGGCUCAACCCGCGGACGGCACAUGAUACUGCGAGACUAGAGUGAUGGAGGGGGAACCGGAAUUCUCGGUGUAGCAGUGAAAUGCGUAGAUAUCGAGAGGAACACUCGUGGCGAAGGCGGGUUCCUGGACAUUAACUGACGCUGAGGCACGAAGGCCAGGGGAGCGAAAGGGAUUAGAUACCCCUGUAGUC
rnacentral:rRNA from 1 species